UCUGGUUUAAUAGAAUUGUGGAGGCAGCAGAUCAAGCAAUUCCAAAACGUUGGUGCUGAAAUAGCUGAAGCUAUAGCAUCAAAGUAUCCUUCUCCACAACUGUUAUUACAGGCUUAUAAACAUUGUAGCACCAUAAAAGAAAAAGAAACUUUGCUGCAAGAUAUUGUAGUGAGGAGAAAUUAUGGACCGUUAGGCACACAGCGGCGCAUUGGUCCUGAACUCUCAUACAAGAUUUAUCUCUUCUUUUCAUCAAGAGAUGGUGAUCAAGUCCUUCAGCGAUAAGAUAUUGUGUAGCUGUACAUACUUUUUGUGAUACUUAAAAUAUAUUUUUGUAAUUGGAGUUGCCACAGAGCAAAAAUAAUUUUUUCUUCUAUUAAAAAAGCUUCUGAAUAUGCUAUAUUUUCUAUUCAAAUGAUUUUAAAUUCAAUAAUAAAUAUCAAGGUUUAAACUUCUAACUAUAUCCUUUUGUAAUGUACUGGAUAAAAGUAGUGCAUUCAAAUUUUUUAACUAUUGUUUUUGGAUUUUUAAAUGUACAUAAGAAGGUGAAAUAAGAGAGCGAACAAUAUAACAACUAGCUGUUAAGAACUUUGUAGUAAUAUAGGUUUUUAUGUGAACCAUACAGAAGCAAAUUUUUAAAAAACUGCUGUUUGUGUUUUGAUGUGUAUAUUGUUUCUAUUAAAUAUUGUUUAAUUAAAUGUUAAAAUGUUUUUUAAGCAGAAUUUUUUUUAAACUUUGCUUUUGCUUUCUUAUUUUAAAAAAGCAUAGUACUUUUCGAACAAUAGUUUUCUGAACUUAAUAUCUGUGUUGUUGG